rnacentral:rRNA from 1 species
CAGUAGCCACGGUAAUACAGAGGGUGCGAGCGUUAAUCGUAUUUACUGGGCGUAAAGCGUGCGUAGGCGGCUUCUUAAGUCGGAUGUGAAAUCCCUGAGCUUAACUUAGGAAUUGCAUUCGAUACUGGGAAGCUAGAGUAUGGGAGAGGAUGGUAGAAUUCCAGGUGUAGCGGUGAAAUGCGUAGAGAUCUGGAGGAAUACCGAUGGCGAAGGCAGCCAUCUGGCCUAAUACUGACGCUGAGGUACGAAAGCAUGGGGAGCAAACAGGAUUAGAUACCCCAGUAGUCCCUGUCUCUUAUAA